rnacentral:lncRNA from 1 species
AGAAAAUAACAAUUAUUGGUACAUGGGGUGGACACCAGUGAGCGUGAAAGAUUUUUGAAUGACUAAUACCCCCUAUAAUAGUAUUUGGAAUAAAAACCUAAGUGACAGGAGUAGAUGUUUAAAAAAUGAAGAAUCAUACUAAGCACUUACUAAUAUCUGAGCUAUUUUACAACUGAAAUAACUAUUACAAUGAAAAGAAAAUUACAACUCAAACUUGAAGUAAUAUUUACAAUGUGCGGCCGAGGUUGGGCAAACUGCGACUGCGAUAGUGUCAAGGGGCUAAGUAAAGCUGCGGUCCUUGACACCGGGGCAUGACCUGCUGCUUCGGCUCUUCUUAACACAAGAUCUCCGGCUCUGAAUCUCCGCGUCCUCACUUUUUUAUUGAAAUACUUUGCUGUUUUAUCUUGAUAAGAUGUCAUUCUUAGAGCUGCCUGAUCACGAACUUCUUCCAAGAGGUCGAGGUGUUCAGUGGUACGCCCUGCAUUCUCGGGCUCAAGUCUUCUUUGGCUGGGCAACUUGAAUUUAAUAGGGAUGGUGGCCUCAAUACCGAAAGCCAACAUGAAGGGGGUUUUCCCCGUAGCGAUUCUGUGGGACGUUCUAUAUGUCCAAAGUAUGGAAGGUAACUCGUCAGACCAGGAACCUCUUGCAUCUCCGAUCCUUGUACGGAGGUCUUGCAAUAUAAUCCGAUUGGUCACUUCGGCAAGACCAUUACUUUGAGAAUGGGAAACUGAUGUCAAAUGGUGAUCGACCCCUAGAUUGGAGUAGAAGUUUUUAAAUUGUGCAUUGUCAAACUGCCUACCAUUAUUAGUUAUGAGGACUUUUGGUAUCUCAAACCUGCAUAUGAUGGACCUCCAAAUGAAAGUUCUCAACUUAGGCUCUGAAAUUGUUGCUAAAGGCUCGGCCUCUACCCACUUAGUGAAAUACUCUACAGCCAUAGCCACAAACUUCAAUUGCCCCUAGUUAUUGGAAAGGGACCAAGGAUGUCAAUUCCCCACUGCUCAAACAGGGCUGUGCAACUAAUGCUAGUGAGGUCCUCUGCGGGAGAGUAGGUGAUAUUGCUGAAUCUCUGGCACUUGUCACACUUCUUGACAUAUUCCUGGGCGUCUUUCUUCAUGGUAGGCCAAUAAUAUCCAUACCUUAUGAGCUUGAAGGCUAAUGCCCGAGCUCCUUGAUGGUUCCCACAUAUUUCUUCAUGAACUUCUUCUAGGGCCUGGGAUGAUUCGGAAGGCUUAAGGCAUCUGAGGUAUGGAAGUGUGAUGCUUCUGUGAAAUAGAACUCCUUCAAUCAUGAAAUACCUUGGAGCUUUGGACCGAAUGCUUCUUGCUGCCCGAGGAUCUUCUGGAAGAUUGCCAUGUUUUAUGAAGUCCAUUAUUAGAUCCAUCCACGAUGGCUCAUUAUCAAUAUCCAUGAUGCCUACGGUCUGAUUGUUGCUUAGCUCGGUUACAAUUCUAACUUGGACUGUCCUGUCAAACCCAUCUAUCCCCAUGAACACCAAUCUUGACAAGGCAUCGGCUUUACAAUUCUCAGCCCGAGUAAUUUUCACAAUUUCACAACUCUUGAACUUUCUCUGGAGAUCAUGCACUUUCAAGCAGUAUAAGCUCAUCUUCUCGUCCUUCCUAUCGAGUUUCCCUUCAAUUUGUCCAACUGUAAAUUUUGAUGUUUUCAAGCUUGAGAUUAAUGGCAAGUUCCAUGGCUAUGAUGACGGCCUCAUACCCCGCUUCAUUAUUGGUUGCCUUAAAUUCGAACCUGAGUGCACACUGAAUGUCUAUGAGCGUGUCCGGGCUUAUGAUUAUGACCCCUGCACUCAAUCCCGAUGAGUUUGAUGCUCCAUCUACAAAAAAUUACCACACAUCUGUGGAAGAGCACGAGCUACCAUCUGGCCCCUGAGGCCUUGGGGUGAGUUCUACAAUGCAGUCAACUAAGGCCUGAGCUUUGAUAGAUGGACGGGGCAUGAACUCUAUGUCAAAUUCUUCGAGUUCAAUUGCCCACUUCAAUAAUCUUCCUGAGACGUGUGGUUUCUGAAGAAUGUGUUUUAGAGGCUGAUUGGCGAGCACUACAAUAGGAUGUGACUAAAAAUAUUGUCGAAGCUUUCGUGCUGCCACUAUCAGUGCAAGGGCAAGCUGUUCUGCCAAAGUAUAUCUUGUUUCUGCAUCAAGUAGGACUUUGCUUACGUAAUAAAUAGGUUGCUGGGCCUUGUUAACCUCUUUCACCAAGACACCACUCACUACAUUCUGAGACACGGCUAAGUACAAAUACAAAGUAUCCCCAAGCUCGGGUUUGGUGAGGAUGGGAGGAGAUUCCAAUGUCUGCUUGAGCUCCUAAAAAGCCUUCUUGCACUCCUCAUUCCAUUCAAAGCAAUGAUUACCUCUGAGGGCUUUGAAGAAGGGAAAGCACAUGUCUGCUGCUUGGGACAUGAACCUAUUUAAGGCGGCUAUCCUGCCUGUCAACUUUUGAACUUCUUUCUUGGUCCUUGGUGAUUCCAUUGCUGUCAAAGCCUGAAUGUUAUCGGGGUUGGCCUCAAUCCCCUGAUGAGUGAUCAUGAAACCCAGAAACUUUCCCGAAGCUACACCGAAUACACACUUCUCUGGGUUGAGCUUUAUCUUAUAUUUUCGUAGGUGGCGAACACCUCCUCCAGGUCGGAUAUGUGCUGCUCUACAUUCUUACUCUUUACAACCAUGUCGUCAACAUAGGCCUCGAUGUUCUUCCCUAUUAAAUCGACGAAGACUUUGUUGAUGAGCCUUUGAUAUGUCGCCCCAGUAUUUUUCAACUCAAAUGGCAUCACCCUAUAGCAAUAUAUGGCUGAAUCAGCCAUGAAUGAAGUAUUCUCUUAGUCUUCUUCGGCCAUGAGAAUUUGAAGAUACCCUCUAAGAAGCUGUACAGCUUAUGUCCAAAUGUGCAAUCCACAAGAUUGUCAAUCUUGGGUAUGGGUAGCUGUCUUUUGGGCAUGCCUUAUUGAGAUCUGUGAAGUCGAUACAGACCCUCCAUUCACCACUGGCCUUCUUCACAAGAACAACAUUAGCGAGCCAAUCGGGGUAUUGGACUUACCUUAUGAACCCCGCUUUUACCAGUUUGUCGACCUCUUCUUGAAUGACCACACGUCUUUUCGGUGCAAACUGCCUUUUCCUUUGCUUAAUAGGUUUGGCCCCUGGGCUUAUAUUGAGUCUAUGAAAAGCUACUUCUGGAUCUAUCCCUGGCAUAUUCUCCACCUUCCAUGCAAAAACAUCGAUGUUGUAGGACAGACAAUUGAUGAAUUCCUCCCGGAGGCUGGCCUUGGGAUCCCGACCAAUAGUUACCGCUUUUUCGUGCUCGAGCUCGACCACUUCCAAUUCCUCAACCAAGGCAAGUCUGCCCUUGGUACGAGCUCGAGCUCGAGGUCUGAAAGUUGCAUGACGUCUGUACUCAUUCCUCAAAUGCUAGUAACAUAGCACUGUCUGGCAACUGUUUGGUCCCCUCGAACUAAUCCGACGCCAUGGCCUGUUGGAAACUUCAUGGCCAGGUGGAAAGUUGAUGCAAUAGCCUGGAUCUUGUUUAGUAGGGGCCUUCCGAGAAUGAUGUGUGUAGGCCAUAGGGGUGUUAACCACUUGGAAUUGUGUGAUCUCCGUCACUUGUGCCUUACUAGAACCUAAUGUAAGCGGAAGCUCGACGAUACCCUCAGGGAUAAUGACUCCACCACCAAAUCCCUGUAGAGGAGUUUUAACUGUUUUGAGCUGUUUGGGAGAGAGCCCCAUUUUAGCGAAGGCCUCCUGUGAUAGUAUGUUUGCCGCACUUCCAUUAUCAACCAGAAUCCUCUUUACUUCAAAGUUAGCCACAAUUGCAGAGACGACCAAGGCAUCGUCAUGAGGAUAUGAUAUUCCUUCCAAAUCUCUUACUCCAAAGGUAAUGUCUUCGAGUUUAUCACGGGUUUCCUUCGAGGUAUGAGCAUGUUGGCGGGCAUAUAGCUUUCGCCCACUAUUUGUGUCUCCUCCAGAUGCUAUGCCUCCAAUGAUAAUAUUAAUGGUCCCUGCAGUGGGUUGAGUACUGCUUCCGGCUCCAGGCUCUUUCUGAUUGUCACGGUCAUUCUUCGGGCUUUUAUCAUAACCAAUGUAGUUCCUUAAGAGUCCUCUUUUAAUGAGGGAUUCAAUUUCCCACUGCAAGGCUUGGCAAUCCUCCAUGGUAUGCCCAUGAUCUCGGUGAAAUUCACAAUAUUUGCUCCUAUCUCUUGUGUCAGGGGGUGACUUCAUUCUUGAAGGCCACUUUAAUUCUUUCAUAUCUUUGAUCUCCAUUAAGAUAUUUGCCUUGGAUGUGUUUAAUCGGGUGAGGAGCCUUGGUGGACCUUCAUUCUUGCGCUUUUCUCGAGGAUACUCGGGCCGAGAAACAGAAUCAUGUUGCUUCUUGUUCUCGGCCUUUUCGUGGGAAGGACCAAGUCUCCUUGGAUUUAGUGUUUCCUCCAUAUUAAUGUAUUUUUCAGCUCGGGUGAGGAGCUCCGUCACUGUUUGCAGCGGGGUCUUUGAUAAAGAUAUCUUGAAAGCUUCACGUCUUACGGUGUAGUGAGGGCGGAGACAGCUGCUGUGAUGUGAAUGUCGGGUAUUUGAUGUAUUUUUUUGCUAAACAUUGUCAUAAAUCCUCGUAGGGUUUCACUUGGUCCCUGACGAAGUUGCAUGAGAGAGGUCGCAGUCUUUCUGAUUUGCUUGCUACUUGCAAAGAAGGCGGAGAACUUAUCAGUCAAAUCUGAAAAUGAGGCUAUGGAGUUGGGCUCCAAUGUAGAGAACCAAUCCCUUGCAGCAUUAGUUAGAAUUUGGGGGAAGGCUUUGCACAUAACCUGAUCCGGCGCAACUUGCAAGUUCAUGACAUUAAUAUAUACAUUGAGAUGGUUGAUGGGGUCGCUCGUCCCAUCAUACUCUUUAAUGCGAGGAUAUUUGAAUCUGUCGGGCAAGGGACAUGACAAUAUGUCUGGCGUGAAUGGAGUGUUAGGUGUAAAACUCGUUGGCCCCCGAACAUUCCGUUGCAGGCCAACUGUAAUUCCUUCUUGAAUGAUUCGGACAAUCUCACCGGAAUCCAUGGCGAUCGAUCUCGAGCCCGAGGCCAUGUUGCGAAUACCUGAGGUUCCUACUCUGCCAGUUGCGGGGUUUGGUGGUCGGGCUCGAGCAUCAUCCAUAAAACCACCAUGCUCUGCCUAUGCUGGUGACGGAUGCAAAUUUCUUUGACUUAACAGUUGCGUGAGUGUGGCCACUUGCUGACGGAGCUCUUCAAAGGCUUCGGUUGUGACAAUCGCCGAUAGAGGUGCGAGCACUCCUGAUGACUCUUCUUGAAGAGCUGGUUGAUCUUCAGCAGGAUGAGGAAUGGGAGCAGAUGAGCUUGCAGAAGGAAGACCUGAUCGCGUGUUAACCAUGGCUUUUGGUAGCGUUUCCCAUAGACGGCGCAAAUGAUGCUACCAAAAAUCGUACCUGGUGAUUUCCUGAGCUUAAGGAUUUUGAAUGAGCACGAUCGUAAUCUUCCGGUACCUGAAACAAAGGCAACGAAGUAUGUUCUCGUCGUCCCUCCGAUACUUAAGUCAGAAAAUGAAUUAUGUGCGUAAGGCUUUAAACUGAAAAUAAUGAAAACAUGCCUGAACAAUGCCCCCAUCUAUUGUAUUUAUAGAGGUAGGUGAUAUUCUCCUAGUAGGACUCAACUAGCUAGGUAUCCUUAUUUGUUGGAGUCCUGUACGGUUAAGGAAUCAGACAAAUACCAAAAUUAUGCUUAAGACAGAGUCCUUAUUAGGAUCAAGUAUCGAAAUAGUAGUCCAGAGUUAGAGUUCCAAGUAGAUAGGAAUCCUAUUUGAUCAACAUAACCCAAGCCGCUCGAGGAGAGGAAUUCCCGAGGACAUAAUAUCCCGAGGACCUCAGGCGUACAAAAUCGUCGUCACACGAUUGCGAAUCCUCGAGCAUGUGUCAUCGAGGAAAAUGCUCGAGGACAUCAAGCUGCAAUAUGGUGAGGGAGUUAUUUUCAGUUAUCGAGGAUAAUGUUCAGGUAUGGACGAAUAAUAAGGCGUAUCAGC